ACCAGAAUGCUUGCACAACUGAGUUUACUUCUGAGAGAGACAUCAGCACAGUGAGGGAUGGUAAGAGAAGCCUAAGCCCAGAAGAAGGCAAUGACAGAUGCAUUCUACUGAAGGCAUUUUCGCCUAAAUUAUCCCAUUUUUUUUUUUAGAUGAUAUCAGGCAUUUGAACCCUGGCUGAUCUCAAAUCUCAUGAUCCUCUUGCCUCAGCCUGCAUCUUGCUGGGAUCUCAGAAGCAUGUCAUCACACUUGGCUUCUAUCAGUUGUUACUGAUAGAUGUUCUCUGCAAGAUAACCAGAGUCCCACAGACCUCUGGAUGAGGCACACCGAUUCACAGUUAUUUCCUUAGGAAGACGACUUGAGGAGAGGAGUUGUGACCAGAUCUGGCCAGAUUUGAGUGCAGCUGACACCUCUGCCCUUGUGCUAAAUGCAGCCACAGUGCAUCACUUGGAGCUCUAAGCAGAUGCUUCAGAUGGAAGAAGCGGUUGGCCUUUCCUCACUGCCCAGCAUGGGGCACAGUAUGGAUGUGUGUAUGCAGAUUUAAUCAUGGGCCUGCACACGUGAACAUGGAUAUCUAUAGGCAAGUGCCUGAAUGUGUAUAUGCAUAUGCAGCUGUGUAAAUGGCUGUAGACACCCAUAUCCAUUAUUCACAUGUCUGAAUGUGUGACCAUGAGUGUCAGUGUGUACAUGUGUGUCUGCAUGCGUAUUCACAAGUACUCCUUUGUGUAUGUAAGUGAACAUGGAUGUCUGCAUACAUGGAUAUGUGGAAGUGUGUAUUUGUUUAUAGCUUCAUGUUCUUAGCUCAAGGACAAUUAUGACACAGGUAACAGUAUAUAAGGUUGGUACAGAAUUACCCCCUCUGCAGUUCUCAAAAGAAAGUCACAAAGUUUGAUCUUAUUAAACUUCCUUAUGCCAAAUUUAUUCAUCCCUAAUGAUUUAAUCUUUUCAAAAGUUCUUGCAUACAUUGUUUCCCCAUUACAACCUGUGAAGGUGUGCUUUUUGAUGAGCUCACAAGUAUCAUGACUCUGAUGGUCCAGCAGAGGAUGUGGGUCUUCACUGCAGGACCACCCCUCCACAGUAUUCGAAGGAGAGGCCACUCUGGAGCUUCCCCUUAAAACAGGAACGAACUACUCCUAAUUGCUAUAGCAACCUACAGUGUCCAACAAACAUCUCCACCCAGUCCAAGGGCCUGCCUCUGUCAGCCCCAGGCCAUGGCAGUGGGUGAGGGUGCAGGGACAUCCCUCUCCACAACACUGAAGUCAUGGACCCAACCUCAAAUUUGUCCAAGUGUUCUCUCCACUAAGUUUCUGUAUAUACUGAGUCAUAGAUACUGACACUUUCAACUCUGUAUACAUACAUGGACAUGUGAACACAGUCUCCUGGUGAUUUCAGGUUGUCACGUUGGGCAUCAUGCCAGCACAUACACACAUGUAUCAAGGCUUCAAAUCACCUGAAUAUGCUCUCUUUUGGGCAAGAGAACCAGAACUUGUCAAGUGCUCUGGUGAAACUGGAACUCUCCAGUCAUGGAUCUUGGAGGACAGUGGCCUUAUUUCUUCCCUCCAUAUCCCAGUCACACUCCUCCACUCCAACCCUAACCUCACCGCCCCCUCCCCAGUGGGUAGCACAGGAACCCGUACAGAUGAACUCCAGGAAGGCUGCAGCACUGCAGGUGAUGGCAAGAGGGGACUCAGCUUGGGGAAAGGUGACAUGGAGAAAGCCCUGCUCUUUGGACCUCAGGCUGGGUCCCUGGAAAAGCUCUGGCCUAGUGUGUGACAGCACCAGGUGCCACCUCAGCUUACUUUAGUCUUAGUGAGUGAAAAAGAAGAAGAAAUAAAAAGAAAGAAUAUGACUGCUCCUAGGUAUGGUGUAGGAGAUAUUGUAGGUGUAUGGGAAAGCAUAGCCAGGGGCAGGAACAUCGGGGAGAGCACAGAGAGGACAUGACCCUGAGCCAUGUGAGGAGGGGAGGAGAAAAAGGGAAGAAGGGGGACCAAGUGCAACAGCCAGGAGGCCCAAAGGAGAGAAGACAUAAAGGGGCCAGGUAACCAAAUGUCCGGAUUAUAUAGAGAAGGGCAGCCCAGACCCUAGGAGUUUAGGGUAGAAAGGUAUGGUAACCAGGAGGACCCUGUAACAGGGAGGGACUAAGGGACUGCAGGGAUAACCUGGCAGCCAGGUCUACUUUGAUAUAUUAAGUAGGCACCUCAGCCAUUUGUCCCAGGUACGAAAUCUAACAUCAGUGUAACAGUGUAACACCAUCCAGAGGGAGUUCAAUACGGCUGUGCACUGGGAGGGAAGAGAGGAAUCCAGGGAGGCAUGGAGUUCAUCAGUGAAGCAGAACAGAACAGGCUGUUAGGAGUCUGAACACUUCUUUCCCAGGCCAGAGAGAAUUGCCAGCCAUCGCAGGGAAUCAUGCUCCAGUAUCCAGGGGCUUUCUAGUCAUUCUGUCACAAAGCCAUCCACCUGUCAUCAUAUACCCUGUGUUUCUGUGUAUCUGCCUGGCAUGCCUCUGUGCUGUGUGGAGUCCUUUCUCCUGGGCUCAGGUGAGCAGUUCUCCAGUUUGCUGAUGAGCUAUUGUGUGCAGGAGUUGGCUCAAUGGGCAAUUCUGAACUCAACUCGAACAGUUAAAAGAAAUGCAAGAACUGAACUGAAGCCACGGGACCCCAUCAAAGCACAGAUUGUGGUGGACACUGACACCUAGCCAGGUACUCAAAUUCCUUUUCAUCUCAGUCCAGCAGCACUAGCUAGGGAGUUUCAGUGAGCAUCCUGGCUGAGCUGGAGCAGAUCCUCACAGUUGCCAUUUAUAAAUGAGGUACUGGAGACUAAGCAGUGAGAAGUGACUUGGCCAUGGGCCACUGCUGUAGGCAACAAGACAAGCUCUGAACCUAGCGCUGUGGCAGUCUAGAUCGGUGGGUCUCCCCUAGAGCCCACCAUUACCCCUGCAAGCAUGCAUCCUGUCAGAGCACAGAGACAGGCCUUGGCCCUGCUGGCGUGCAGAGCUAGGCCCAGAUCUUGGAGCUGGGUAGACCCUAUCCAGAGUAGUGACAUUGAAGAGGACAGGAUCAAGCAUUUGAUCCUAAGUGUAAAGAAGAGGUCAGAAGGAGAUGGGUGUGUUAAAAGCAAUAAUGAGUAAGUGUGAAGCCACAUGAUGGAUGAUUUUCAAUAUUAUUCUUCUCUAGCUCUGAAGAGACUUGUUAGCCCAUUCACCACCUCCCUAAGUGUGUGCUGUCACUUUCCAACUGCAACUCCUUAACCCUCCAUCUGUGUGUCACCACAGACUGAUGUCCCACAAGAAGCCCUGUAAUGAUGGGAGAGUUCCAUCCCACCAUCCACAUGUGACUGGAGCAUCAAUGAGACAGAUGCAGGAGGCACACCUGCAGAGCACCAUGGCAAGGAGGAGUCAGCACCAGGCCUCCACAAGGUGUCAGGCCCAGAUCAUGGGCCUCCCAGCCUCCAGCAUGUGAACGGACUCCUUAUCUCUUGUUUUCUCAGAGCCUUCUGAAUUACCCCUCUGAGAUGCCUCUUGACCUGAUGCGUUCACCCAGGCUUGUCGAAGCAGCCACAGAAGUUUCUCAAGAAUGAUGGUGUAGAUAGCCCUGGAGCCACAAAGCCAGAGGCCUGGAAGACUGAAGAGCACCAAGCACAAGCCUUGGCAUCCUUGGAAAGCUGCUAGCUCUUAACGUGGCUAAUCCCAACAAAGAUUUUAUUCAUUUAAAUAUAAAAUA